rnacentral:lncRNA from 1 species
AUGCGACUAUUCGAAAGGAGACCGACCUGUUAUCCUGAGAAGAGCAGCGUCCAGCCUACAGGUUUUGGUUCUCCGAAGAGGGCGUGGGUUUCUCCGGGUGCGGGCUGAGCCUCCCUGGGGUGUGGGGAGACGAAGAGAUCCCUGGCCCAAGUCGCCUCGUUCCCGCUCUGGGUCUUGGUCCUUUGCUGACCGGAGAGGGAGAGAGACUUGGGGCCUUCCUGGCCCCAGGCAGCGUGAUGUCCUGCUUCAGGGGUGGCCUGGACCUCCUUUCCAUGUAAAGGCAGGGCACGGGAGGGUAAGACAGGGAAGCACCCUCCACUAGGCUUCUCUGUAAAUUGGGGGCAAGAAUGCUCAACCACGGGAUUGGCAGAACUUUCGAAGAUACCACACGUAUAAGCCCCAUUGCUCUGUGGUUAUUGUGGGAUCACGAAUGCUCACUUAAGUGCCUAGCAUGGUUCCACAGAUAUAGUUAUUCCAAUAAAGCAUAGUAGUCAUUUCUGGAUUCUUUCCUUCCUCUGGGCAGCUCUUCCUCUGGUAACUGAGCUCAUAUUAAUUGUCUGAAGAAGACAGUUUCUGAAGAUGUGUGCCAUGAUGGCUGCUGAAGCUUCUACUCCAGAUCUGAAGAGCAAGCAGUGCUCAGGAGGCCCCCCAACACUUCCAUCUCUGCUCGAGUACCUUCUUGGAGCUCCAGAAAAAAGUAACACUGGAUCUUCAGAGAGGGACACCAAAACAAGAGUGAGAAGCUCUUCCUAG